rnacentral:lncRNA from 1 species
UGUUACCAUAUAUGGCGAUAAGAAAUGAAUCAUUUGCAUAUGAAUAUGGUAAAAGCUUUCCAUUUAAUAGCGUGUUUACGUUAAGUGUACUGUGUAUUGAAGCAUUCUGACCUCACCUUUUAUUAUAGAUCACAGGUAAUUUUACAACUCGUUAGUAUUGUAUUUGAUGUUAAACCUCCAGGUAUAUAAACUUUUUUUACUUAACAAAUAGUAUACAUUCUUAUAAUAGGAGUGCACACAAGUUUAAGUUACACAUAAAUAAAAUAUGGAUUUUUAAAUUACAUCCAAACGACGAUACACAAUUAAAAUACAACAUAACAAAGGGAGUUUCCUUUUAAAAUCCCGUUCUUUUAUUUUCCCUUCCUUUUAAAAAAUUAAAUAGGUUGAUUAAUUUACUUGUGAAUUUAGAAUGUAACAUUUGAAAUGUGACCAUGUUUUAUAAAACAUUCACGCUAUUAUCACAAAAGUAUACGUAGUAUAAAAGGAACGUUAAACUAGCAGUUGAGAAACCGGCGAUCCUCCGAAAAAACCUUGGGAGGCGGAAGAAUGGAAGGAACAUCACUUGACCGAAAGUCGAUACUGGAAGUAAAUGGAAUUAAAUGGAGCGGAAUUCAGAUUUUUUUCGAACGGGAUUUAGAAUGAAUGUCUCUCUUGUUUUUAUCUUUCUAAAGUAUGGACUUUUUUGGUGCAAAAUGUUUCAAGAAAUUGAUGUGAAAAUGUCGGUUCAUCACACUAAUGGCUUUUGAAUCAAUGAAAAUGUCGGAUUACACUUCCUUAAGCAAAACGAAAAUGUCUUAUAAGCAAAAACGAAAAUGUAGAACUGCACUUCUGCAAAAUGAAAAUUUAGAAGCUACAAACUUUAUCAGAUACUUACGCUGAAGAAGCAAUUAUUUUCUUUUGUUGAAAUGUAUACAAAAUAUCAUUUGUAUUCAUAUAUUUGAGCAGUCGGUUUGGUAUCGGAUUAGUGAAAAUUCUUCCCAAAAAUGUUAUACGAAUUUUAAAGUAAGAUUAUUAUUUGCCGUUCAUUUUUGUGCUCAAACAUUUGAAAAACACUUUUAAGAACAUUUUUUAAGAACAUUUGUUUAUAUUUAUUUUUAGGCUUAUCAAAGGUAUCUCCUGUUUUCUUCACUGAUAGUCUAUGGAAAUUAAAAAGAAUAUGGAAGGAAAAUUAAAAAAAGAAUAUGGAAGGAAAAUUAAAAAAAAAGAAUAUGGAGAUGUAGUUUGAUGCACAUUUAACAGCUUUCUACCAAAAACUUGAGUCUCAAAACCUACCGGUUAUCAUGCAGCCUAUAACAACGAACAAAAACCAUUAUGUAUAAUGAGCAUUAUAAGAUCGUGUGGAUGACAAAAAUAUGAAACAAUUCAAAAAGAAAACCGACAUCAUGGUUUAAAACCAAUGCCAAUGAUCAUUUUCAACACCUAUUUACUAUUUUUCCUAACUUGCCUAUCUUAAGGCCUGAUGAAACUACUUUUAUAUUUAAUCGAUUCUUUUGUGUUGUGCUUUUAAACUGAAUACUUCGGACAGGUAGCAGCAGUUUAGUUUUUUUGUCAUCUUAAUAUCAAAAGUGGUUCUCAAACCCCGAUUACUAGUAAGCUAUCUGUUUUAUUUCUAUCCAGAGUAUUUUUUUAAAUCUAAAUUCCGUUUCUGUGGAAAACCCGUACAGAAAGCAUAUAUAGAACAUUUGUUUCAUAGCAAAAUUUACCAAAUACCCCCCUGUUCCCCCCUCCAUAAAUCUGCCUCUGCGGUACAUGUUUUCUAACUGGCCAUAGUGGCGUUCUACAUAACAAUAUCAAUAACUAUUCGUCCUCGAUCAUAUUUUGAAAACAAAACUUUUACCAGAUUUUAAAUGUUUACAGAUUUAAAACUUUUUUCUGGUUUAUUUAGAAAGGACCACUACUUAUCUAUAUUACAUCAUCAACUUGAACGUCUAGUGAGACGUUUAAAAUCGUU